rnacentral:lncRNA from 1 species
CCACCCUGGCCAUUGCAUAUAUUACGGGAGAUGCACAGAAGAAUAUAUUAAUAACUUAUAUUGGAAUGGUCUUUGGUGGAGAUUAUAUUUUCACAUGGACAAACUUCAUUGGCUUAAAUAUCAGUAUUGCUGGGAGCCUGGUGUAUUCCUAUAUCACUUUCUCUGAGGAGCAGCUGAGCAAACAGUCGGAGGCCAGUAACAAGCUGGACAAUAAGGGGAAAGGAGCAGUAUGACCUGAGGAUUGCUUCAGCCACCUCGGCCAAGUUUAUGAUCAGCUCGGGACGCUGGCAUUUCCUACACAGAUACGGAGGGGUCUUGGUUACGGAGGACAUACCGUUUCUUUGCACUUGUACAAUCCGAGGAUUGAUUGCUGCCUUUUUAAAUCUUUUGAGAGAAACUUACAACUGAUUCUUUUAAAUAUGCCAUUCGAAUUAAUUUAUAUCAGACUGGAAAACGUACUGGGCUUUUUAAUUUAUUUUUCUUCGAUGCUGACGGUGAAACAUCCAUGUUUUGAAAAUAGUUUAUGCCAUAGCUUGAUCAUCCAGGUGUCCCUGGGAGCUGCAGAUAGAAAGCGCUCCAGCCGGAGCCUCAUCAGUCGCACCAUUGCUGCGUCUGGAGGCAGCUUCGCAUUCCUCUUGCUGGAAACGCAGCUGAGUAUCUGACUUCCUCUGCUUUGAAUUUUCUUUCUGAGCGAUUGCAUUUUCUUCAUAAAGAUAUCAUCACUGCUCUCGCCAGAGAUGACACCUUUGGCACUAAAGAAACAGGUGCGGCUUUGCUGUGUAUGAGUUUGCACAUUGGCUUCCCUGAGAACUCACGGGAUGAGCAGUGUAUGUUCCUUGAAAAUAUCCUGUUCCCUCUUUGUGGGGUGGGGUGGGGAUGAUGAAGGGAUGGAGGAAGUAGGCCUUUUUUACUCUUUUAUUCAUCUGAGUCACUCAUUCAACUAAAGCGUAUUGAGUAUGUGAUACGUGCCAGGCAUUGUGCUCCGUGCUGGGGGUAGGAUAUUGUUGGAGUAGAUGCCUGAUCUCGCUUCCGCUGUAGUGACCAAGGGUGACACUGAGAAUUUAGCUCUGUUGGUUUAUUCAGAAGACAUGGUGACGAGGAACAAGUCAUGGAAACUUUUCAGCUCUCAGAAAGCGCAGGUCUGGGAAUGGGUUUAAAAGCCUCUGUCUUCAGCCCAGAGCGAUGUGAAACUGAAUCCUACACUGUAGCUCAAAUGCACGGGGAAAGCUGCCGUCGUAAACCUCGCAGCUCAGCCUUUCUUCUCCGGGAAAAACAGCAAGCAGGUGAGCACCAUCUCUUUCGCCACGCUUCCUGCCUCUGGGUUUGGUUGCUCCUCUUUUUCCUCCUCUUGGAAUCCACGCGGCUCUGUCUUCCAUUUCUGAAUACCUUGGUUUGAGAGGAAAGGCAGUUGAGAUUUUCUGCCUUGUGGAGGCUCGGACUUUGGCAGCAGCAGUGUCAGAACCAGCACCUUCCCUUCUGCUUAAACGGAGCAGCAUCCCUCUUUCUUGUGGACCCUCCCACCUCCGUCCCACAUCUCUCGGUCACUUCCUACACAUCCUCCCUCCUCUCGGGAGCUGGGCUGCCUCCUGCGAGAGCAGCUGUGGGUGGACGUUGCCUGAGUUGCCUCUCUGGGUGAGUCGGGUGUGUUAACUCACACACAGUAGUGUGACUUGGCUUAAGACACCUGUUGACUUUGGAGGUGGCGUGUUUUCUCAGGCAGCUGUGCAGUCAGUGUGCAAGAGGUUGGGUACUUCCAUUUCAUUAGGUUCGCAGUUUACUGGGCGUUGUUGACCUAAGCAGUUCAUGUUUUGAUGCCUCAAAACAUGAGGAGACCCAGAAGGUUUUGAUUUCUUUCUGUUUUUGAAAAAGGAUCGUGUUGCCGUCGUUUUCAUAUUCGUAUAUUUCCCUGACUUUAGUUUGUCGGCAUCAAAGCUUGGCCCUUGGUGCUGGGUCCUUAGAAGUAGCCUCAUGGUUGGCUCCUAAGUUUCAGGCUCCCUGUAACUUGGUUUCCAGUAUUUUGUGAGCGGAGAAAAUUCAAGCCGGGAGAAAAGGAUACUCUGUGCAAGACAUUUUAUGGUGUCUAAUUGUCCCUAUUUUUAUUGAUACGAAAGCAAGACUCAGAGAAAGUGAGGUGACUUGAUGAUAAGUCAAAAUUCCUGUUUUUUUCCCCGAAACCAUGCUGCCAUUGACAACUGCUCUUCUUCUCUGAGGGAGUGAGAAAAUGGGGGUGCCAGCCGAGCUAGCUCGAGUCUUUCAAGGAGGCGCUGGUUGAUUGAAUAUGGAGUCGAAGAGGAACAGGCUUUGCAGAUCAGGGGGAGUCACUCCACAGGCGAGAGCUUUUAUCUCCCUUUCAGGCUGGCCUCAGGUGACAGGCACUUCUGGCUAUGAACUUUACUUGCCACCGCCGGAUUUUGCCGGGGGACAGUGAAAAGCUGCCAUGAGAGCUGACUUGAGCAGUUCUGUUCCUCCUUCCAUCAGCCACAUGAAGGAGGACGCUUUGAUGUUAGAAGUAGUUUGUGCGGUAGAAUUUCUCAGCAUGAAAGGCCUUCGGUUGCGUUUAGAGGUGUUGGGCCAGAACCCCAUCAGGGGUUGAGCUUCUUCUUGGGGCUCAGGUUCCCUUGAAGAUCUGCCAUCUCUCCGGGGUUAUUUGAGGAAAUCAUGUGUGGUUAUAGCUUCCCUAAAUGAACAUGACCUCAGGGCCCCUGGCCUGUGCUGAACUUUCUGACCGACUCGAAGCAGUAGAGCAGUGUAAGCUUUGUCCUUGUCCCUGUUGAUUCCUUGGUGGCUGCUUCACCAGCUACCAGCAUUUGAAGAUAAGAGGAAGAAGCCUGGGGAAGGGGGAGAUUGAAUAGACUGGCCGGCUGCUUUUUUUUGGCUGUGCUCAUGGUAUGCACCAGUUCCUGGGCCAGGGCUCAAACCUAAGCCAUGGCAGCGACAAUGCCGAAACUCCCAGCCAACCAUGUUGAAGUCGAUUUGCAGCCUUGAUUAUAGAACAUGAAAAGAUUUACCUGGUAUUCCAGCAUCUUAUAAGACAAGCAUUCUUUGGCCUGUUAGCUACCACCUGGGAGACAAAGAGACCAUAUAGAGUUAAAUCCUUCAUUUGCCCUUGGAGACAGAGGAGCUGUGGUGAGAAUCCUGAAAGCCGCAUUCUGUGACCACUGGCUCCUCUUCUUGAGUCAGGCACAGCAAAGCCCUCUUUGGCCAGUCUGUUUUCCAGUCAGUGCCAGAUUACUUUGAAUAACCCUGGUUGGCCAGGCGACACAUGGCCCAAUGGCCCAUGAUUUUUUAAAUUCCUUUCUAUGGCUGUUGCCUCUAUGAGUCAGUCCUUAGCAGGAUCCAACGUGCCUUGUAGGUUAAGAAAGAAAAGUAUGUUUGCAGGCUUUCUGAGGUCCUUAUGUACCAGGAAUGCGUGGAAAGCUCACAUCAGUGAUACUGAUGUAGGGUCUUCCCGGAAAGAACAGGAGAGUUUCACUUUGGUCCGUCUGGAAUAGUGCCCGGGAUUUGGGGCGGGCCUGCCUUUGCUUUUGUUAUUAUGGUUUUGAUUAGGGAGUGAAGAUUGUUUUAUGCUAGGCAUUAUGCUAAGCUCUGGGGCAGCUGAGAUGACGAGGACAUGGAUCUUGUUCUCCAGGAAUGUGUAAUUCUUUAGCCAGACUCUAGUUGAGAAAAAGAAGCAGAUUUAUGAGUUAAAGCUACCUGCGCAGUUGUCAGCGUCGCUGCCGAGGGGUGUCUCCCCCACAGAGCUGAAUGAAGCACUUUUUUAGUCUAAGGGGGGAUUCACACUAGUCCUCUAGCCCUGAGUGCCAGGCUGUUAGAAUUGUGCCCAUAGUCUGGUCCCUCCUGCCUCUCCUGCACGUAUCCUGCCUCCCCAGGGCUGUGUCAUGUUGGUUCUUCCUAUGAACAGGGCUGUAAUUGAUUUGUCCUUCCCUGGGGGGAGAAUAAUAACAUUCAGAAUAAAUGAGACAACAGAUGCAAACUACUCAGCACAAUGCCUAGUACAUAUUAGGCACUCAGCAAAUGUCACUGUCCUUUAUUUCAUGGUGAGACUAGAGGCAAAGAGUAAGACUCUUAUUAAUUUGCGCUCCUUCAAUGCUAGAGGCCCGGGCAGUGUAAAUUACCUUUUAAAAUGCGACCGUCUAUUUUGUUGCUUCUCGAAUACAUUUUAAAUAACAGUUUCUGUUCACGGUCUUUUUAAAAAUACCUACUUGAUAUAAUCAUGGGUGACUCUUGUGUGGUGCAGGUGCCUCCACCUGUUUUAAAAAAAAAAAAAGUAUUUGCAUAUUUUGAUACAUUUCAAAAAAGAAAAAUUAUUUUCUAUCUUAGAGGAAGACAAUGACACUUCAGAAGGGUGAUUCAGUUAUAGGUUUCCGUUGGCCACCCUAAAGGAGCCCCUGGGUCGGUCAGACAUUCGCUCUCCCCUUCUCCCGAUUAAAUGCAUUAACUUCGUGCUGGCUUGAGUCCAGCUUCAUCUCAGUCGCUGGCCUUUGUGAACCUCUGGCGCCAUCACUGUUCUCUAAACCCAUCUCCUGCUUCUUCUUCGUACCAUGCCCCUUCAUCGUGGAAUGAGGAGAUACUCUACGGUGGGUCUUCUUUUUAAGCUUUCUUUUUUGAAAAUACUUUUUUAAAGGAAAUCUACUGGUUAGAUUUUUGUCUCACAAAAAAUGUUUUUAGAGAUUAUUUUGUUCAUAAAUGUUUCUUUCUCAUGCUGAUGAUCAACUGAUUUUUUUUUGUCUACAAACGUUGGCCUAUCACAGUAUUUUUUCAAUAUAGAUUCUAUUUACCAAAUGACCAUUUUAGUGUUUUUAAAAGGUACUGAGGAUUGCGAUAUGUAAAUCAGGUGACAUAAAUAUGAAAAUUAUGUGCCUAAAUAUUUUUGUAAAGAUAUCCAAUAAAUAACUUUUUCUU